UCUCCAAACAUGGGGUUUCUUCUGGC
rnacentral:piRNA from 1 species